GAUCUCUUUGCAGUAAGAGGCGAUGAAAGACGUUAUACUCUGCGAUAAGCCGUGAGGACCCGAGAAUAGGCUUUGAUCCACGGAUCUCUGAAUGGGGCAACCCACCUGAUACUGUGUUGUUGUUGCCGCUUCGGCGGCGCUCAACAAUGCGGUGAGACAGGUAUUUUCAACCUGAAUACAUAGGGUUGAAAAGGCAAACCCGGGGAACUGAAACAUCUAAGUACCCGGAGGAAAGGA
rnacentral:rRNA from 14 species